rnacentral:lncRNA from 1 species
GGGGGAUUUGGGAAUGGGGGCGGGGGUUUAUGAAUGGGGGCGGGGAAUGAGGGGGGAUUUGUCAAUGGGGGCGGGGAUUUGGGGGUGGGGGGGGUGUGAAUGGGGGGGCAAUGGGGGGGGAUUUGUGAAUGGGGGCAGAGAUUUGGGGAUGGGGGGGGAAUGGGAGGGGGGUGAAUGAGGGGGGAUUUGUGAAUGGGGGGGUGUGAAUGGGGGGGUGUGAAUGGGGGCAGGGAUUUGUGAAUGGAGGGGGAGUGAGAAUGGGGGGGGAAUGGGAAGGAGGUGAAUGGGGGGGGAAUGUGAAUGGGGGGGAGAGAGGGAGGGAAUGUGAAUGGGGGGGAGGGAAUUGUGAAUGGGAGGGAGGGGGAGGGGGGAAUUGUGGGUGGGGGGGAGGAAGGGGGGGGUGGAAUUGUGAAUGGGGGUGGUGGGAGAGGGAGGAAUCGUGAAUGGAAUGUGAGCGGGGAAGGAAAAAGUGAAUGGAGGGAGACGGGAACAGAAAGCAGUUCUGAAUGGAAUGGAAUGGAAUGGAAUGGGGUGGGGUGGGGGUGGGGAGGGGUGGGGGUCCUGGCAGCUCACAGAGGUGGGAGGGGGGGGUUGGAAAAGUCCUGGCAGCUCACAAAGGAAUGGGGGUGUUGGGAAGGAAAGGUCCUGAAAGGUCACAGAGCCACGGGGUGGGUGGGUGGGGUGGGAAAGGUCCUGACAGAUCACAGAGAUGUGGAAUGAAUGGGUUGGGAUGGAAAGGUCCUAACAGAUCACAUAGAUGUGGGAUGAAUGAAUUGGGAUGGAAAGGUCCUUACAGAUCACAGAGCUAUGGGGUGGUUGGGUUGGGAUGGAAAGGUCCUGACAGGUCACAGAGCUAUGGGGUGGUUGGGAUGGGAUGGAAAGGUCCUGACAGGUCACAAAGGCAUUGGACUGUUGGAUUGGGAUGGAAAGGUCCUGGCUGGUCACAGAGAUGUGGAAUGAAUGGGUUGGGAUGGAAAGGUCCUUACAGACCACAGAGAUGUGGGAUGGUUGGAUUGGGAAGGUCCUGGCAGGUCACAGAGAUGUGGGAUGAAUGGGUUGGGAUAGAAAGGGUCCUGACAGAUCACAGAGCUAUGGGGUGGUUGGGUUGGAUUAGAAAGGUCCUAACAGAUCACAAAGGCAUUGGACAGUUGGGUUGGGAUGGAAAGGUCCUUACAGAUCACAGAGCCAUUGGAUGGUUGGGUUGGGUUGGAAAGGUCCUAACAGGUCACAGAGAUGUGGGAUGGAUGGGUUGGGAUGGAAAGGUCCUGACAGAUCACAGAGAUG